UUCAGGACGUUCUGCCAGAAUGACAACAGU
rnacentral:piRNA from 1 species